rnacentral:rRNA from 1 species
AUUGAACGCUGGCGGCAGGCCUAACACAUGCAAGUCGAGCGGAGCGGCGGACGGGUGAGUAAUGCCUAGGAAUCUGCCUGGUAGUGGGGGAUAACGUCCGGAAACGGGCGCUAAUACCGCAUACUAUCAGAUGAGCCUAGGUCGGAUUAGCUAGUUGGUGGGGUAAAGGCCUACCAAGUCGACGAUCCGUAACUGGUCUGAGAGGAUGAUCAGUCAAAAUGGAACUGAGACACGGUCCAGAGUCCUAGGUGAGGCAGAAGGGGGGAAUAUUGGACAAUGUGCGAAAGCCUGAUCCAGCCAUGCCGCGGGGGGGAAGAAGGUCUGCGGAUUGUAAAGCACUUUAAGUUGGGAGGCGUUACCAACAGAAUAAGCACCGGCUAACUUCGUGUCAGCAGCCGCGGUAAUAC